rnacentral:SRP_RNA from 1 species
CCGUGCUAAGUGGGGAGAUAGCGGUGCCCUGUUGCCUGUAAUCCGCUCUAACAGGACUGAAUCCCACUUUGAGGUUUAUUUGUGUAAAGCCCGGAACCGAUAAGCAGCGUUGACGACUGAGUCCUAUGCAAUAUAAGCUCGUGAACCGUGUCAGGUUCGGAAGGAAGCAGCACUAAGCGAUGAAUUAUAUGUGCCAUGGGGUUGCUUGGUUUGAGCCGGCUGUCGGGAUACCGUUUAUACAAAUUUAUCGAUUUGUGGUGCACG